CACUGAAUGGAAUGAAACCAAACAUGGCAUGAAUGUUCCUUAUGAGGCGCUGACCAAGUGUUGUUACUUUGUAGCCGAUCCAUCAUCCAAGAUGGCCGCCAGCAGGGGACUUAGUUUAACAUAGGACCCUAUGGGAAAUGCAUACAAAUGACUUCUUUUAGAGAACCACUAAAUGGAAUGAAACCAAACAUGGCAUGAAUGUUCCUUAUGAGGCGCUGACCAAGUGUUGUUACUUUGUAGCCGAUCCAUCAUCCAAGAUGGCCGCCAGCAGGAGACU
rnacentral:lncRNA from 1 species